rnacentral:lncRNA from 1 species
UACGGUUACCCUGUGAGUGCUGGACCCGCCAUUUGUUCGGCCAUUCCAACGCCAGCUGCCUGUAAAUCCUAACGUAACACGGACAGGACGUUAAUGAACGUGUGCUGCCUGCGCGCGCGCUGUCGAAUGAGAUUUUCUUGCACUAAUUAAGUGACUAAUACGAAAGCUAGCCCUCAUGCCCUCCAUAUUCAUUUACACAAUUGAUUUCAGC